rnacentral:rRNA from 1 species
GACGAACGCUGGCGGCGUGCUUAACACAUGCAAGUCGAACGGUCAAGCGCGUUUCUUUUUGGUGGGUGUGGAUCAGUGGCGAACGGGUGAGUAACAGGUGAGUAACCUGCCCCCUACGCCUUGAUAACCGCAAGAAAGUGGGGCUAAUAUGGGAUAUUCUGCGUCUGUCGCUUCAUGGGUCUGGGAAAGAUUUUGUUUCGGUGGGGGAUGUGCUCGCGGCCUAUUAGCUUGUUGGUGGGGUGAUGGCGUACCAAGGCGGUGACGGGAAGCCGGCCCGGGAGGGUGGACGCGCACAGUGGGAAGGAUGCUCGGCCCAGACUCGAGCAGGCCGCAGCAGUGGGGAUUAUGGCACGCAGGGCAGGAGGCUGGUGCAGCGUAGCGGGGUGGGUGAUGGAGCCCUGCGGGUUGUGAAGCGCUUUCGGGAGUGAAGCAAUGCUGCAUGAUUUGUGGGUGGGUUGACGGUAGCUGCAUAAGAAGCGCCGGCUAACUACGUG